rnacentral:piRNA from 1 species
UGAGAACCAAUAGGAAUGCCAUUCUUAG